rnacentral:rRNA from 1 species
UGACUCCCUGAGAGUCCUGAAGGAACGUUGAAGACGACGACGUUGAUAGGCCGGGUGUGUAAGCGCAGCGAUGCGUUGAGCUAACCGGUACUAAUGAACCGUGAGGCUUAACCUUACAACGCCGAAGSUGUU